UUUUGGUUUCGGAACUGCACUUCAAAGCUUGUGUCGAAAUCUUCUUAGGCUCCGAUGUAAUCAUCAAAUUAGGCGAGUAAAUCAAAUUGAAGGGACAGAAGUACUACAAUCAAUUGGUCUUCAAAGGAGGAUUUCUAGGAAUUUGAAUUAAAAAGCAAAUAAGGAGGUAAGUUAUGAGAUUAUUCUACAAUUUCAGUAAUGGAAUAUGUAUAUGCAAAUAUGGGCUAAAAUAAUGUUAAAUGAAAAAUUGAACUGUGAUUUGAAUUGUGAUAACUAUGAAUUAGAAAAGAGGGAAUUUAGUUGUUAUUGUGAGGAGUAUUGGAAGAAGAAAGUUUGGAUUUACACGUGUGAACAUGUAUGAUCUUUGCCCCCAAAAAAAAUGCCUAUGUUAUGUUUGAUAAAAGGUUUCUUAUAAGCUCUUAGCAUAAAUAAAAGAAUUUUGGUCCAAUUUAUGAAUUAUAAAUUUUUAUAUCUGUUUUUUUUAUAAGAACUGAAGAAGGUUGAACAAACUAAUUUUAAGUUUGGGGCUGCUUAAUGUCUUAUGAAUGGAAUGACUGUGUUGGUAAAUCAGUGGCAACCAGGUAACUUUGGACACUUGUUAAGCUUGUUUCAAGUGGUUGUUUUGGUUAGUAUUUUUUUAAUGGGUUGAUAUACUAAUUAUAACAUAUCACAAUUUUGUUGUAAUUGGAUUCAUAAAUUGGGGGAAAAUAAUGUGCAAAGUGGGCAUGUUAGUUAUGGUUCAGCUGGGCAGCAAACUCGCUGCGUUGUCGUGACUGUUACAGCUAGCUAGUUUAGCUUUUGUUUAAAACUAUUGGAGCCCAAAAUCCACUUUCUAUUAUACUCACGAUUUACCCACAUAUUAUACCCUUGUGUAUAUGUUUACAGAUCGUGCGUCACAUAUCUGUAAAACUUUUUAUUGAUAUGUGGGAUAUCAAUAUCAACUUUCUCUAAACAUGAGAAACCAUCCUUAGCAGACAACAAUAUUAGAGAAAUAUCCUUUGUAGUCAAAAUAUGAGAGUCUGGGUGCUAAGACUAAAAACUUAAAAGUGAAAGGAUUUUCCCCAAUAAUACUGAGAUAUGGUGAGGUGUGUGAGAUUAGAUUAAGUAAAAUUGAAAACCUCUAUAUUAUAUUACAUUUUCAACACACAUAAAUAGAUAUUCUUCAAAUGGGGAAAAUUGUCAAAACUAAAAUCUCUCUCCCAUAAAAGUUAUUGCAGUUAAGUGUAAAGUUAAUGUCGGAGAACUCCAAAGAUACUCUUGUAACUUGCAAGCACUUAGAGAUAAAGCUUUUAAACUAGACCUUAAAUUCUUUCCAAUUAGAAUCAAAUUCCGGCAACGUAGUAUUCAGUUUAUGUUUUAAGGACGGAGAGGAAAAAAGACGGCGGAGUGGAAAAUUUUCAGUCAAAUUUUUCAAACGAGUGCAGGCUGAAUUCCUGUACAUUAUGAGAAAUUGCAUAGUUUGCAUGCUUAACUUUGUUCCGACAUUAUUAUGAAAAAUAACGUAUAGUUAAAAAUGAGUUUUAUAACUUGUUUUAAAACGAAACUUUAAAGACUGUUUUGCUGUGACGUAUGAUGAUAUAUCUUGAACGUUAAAAGAUAAUAUAUGUGUAAGGAUGGUCAAUACUAGUCAUGAAAGCAAUGACUAGUUUAUGGGGAGAAUCGAUUAAGAAACUAUAAAUGAAAUGAAUCUAUUUAAAGGAUAGUAAGAGUUAGUAAAGUAUGAGGUUUUGAACUAAAAAUCUGAUUUGGACUUACAGUUAUAUAUAUACAUGUUAAAUGUAUAAGUCAAGAAAUGAGAAGAAGUUACAUUGUGAAAUUAGCUAAAGACUUUCAAAGAAACUAAAUGAAAGUUUUAAAGAAAAAGAUAUAGUAAUAUUAAUUAAGUUGAUAUUAAAUAUAUGAUUGACUGAUAUGGCAUGAAUGUACAUUUAAUUUGUGUAGGAACAUCGCAGAGCAGAUAAACAAUAAUAUUAGACAGUGCUACAGGCAAGUUUUUCAGUUCUGUUAUGUUUGUGGAUGGAAUGUGGUUAUGUGCUAAAUUACAUAUCAUGCUCUAUGAAUUGUUAAAGUCAAAAUAUGACUCAGUUAAUUGGGUUAUGGAACUCAAUUUAUAUGUGAUUUGUGAUAACACAUGUUGUAUGAUGUAACUCGAUAAAUUAAAAAUGUAUAAUGCAUGAAUGUAUGCUUUGUAAGGAAUUAUUGAUGCAUGUAGGAUAUGCAUAGUAAAGAAUAUAUGUUGCAUGCGGAUAUGCAUAUUAAGGGUAAUGUAGUGCAUAUGGAAUUGUGUGCUAUGUGAAACAUGAUAGACUGUUAAAUUUGCUGGGCUGUCGAGCUCAAUCUUGCAAACACAAACUUUUUGCAGGUUAAUGACGUUAUGCAAUAUUAUUUGUGUUUUGCGGAUGAUGAAGGAUGAAUGAUGGACGAAAUGAAUACAUUUCUUUGAAUUAGAAAUGGUAUAAAGCUAUGAUUGAUAGUUGCUAAAUAUAAUUGGCAGUAAUGUAUAGUUUGAAAUGUUAAAUAGAUAAAGAAUGUUUAUUCUGAAAUGAGAAUAAAUAUAAUUUUAGUAUAAAGAAGAAUUGUAAAGGUUGCGAUUCAGGGAAUGAAUGAAUGGGAAUAAAGAAGAAAAUUAAAAUUUAUUCUGCAUUUUUAGCUAUUUUAACAUUAAAUAAUGUUUUAAAGCUAUAACAAGGUAGUAUUAACGCACAAGAUCGGGAAGGGAAAUGGUCCCGAUUUUGGGGGCGUUACAUCCAUCCCCACAUGCAAACAAUGGGCAGUGGCCAAGCCAUCAAAUAAUUUCAGUGGGGUCAAAUUAUUAAAUUACACACACAAAAAAUCUAUUACACACACAUAUCUAUUACACACACAUAUAUAUAUAAAUUCUGUGAAAUCAAAUUAUUAAAUUACACUCACAAAAAAUCUAUUACGUUAUAUAUAAAAAAUAAAAUAAAAAUUCAGUGGGGUCAAUUGACUCACACUCAUACAUGUAGCUUCGACCUUGUUUGGCAUAUUAUUUUAGUAGUGAUAAUAUAUACUCCCUCCCUCCCUCCCUCCCUUUCUUUUUUAUUUAUCCUUUAUAAAUCUCAAAAAAUUAUUAAUGACUUAAUUUUUUAUAUUAUGUAUCUCUAUACUAUUAAAUACCAACUUAAUUGUUUUUCUUUCAUCUUUUUCAAUAAAUUUUUUAAAGAUAGUAUUGAGAUUUUAUAGUUAUUUUGGUCAAUCAACAUUAAUUGUAUUUGUUAAUUUUUUAUUUUUUUUAAACGACAAGUAAAAAAUGGAACGGAUGGGGUAUAUUAGGAGCAAAAAUGCUCUAUUUAUUUAUUUAAAAAGAAAAUACCUAGAUAAAUUAAUUAUAAUUUAUAUUAAACACGAGUAGAGUUUUAACUCUCGGGGUGAUACAUAUGUUAAGCACACUUCCUGAAAUUUCUGCUGCCCAUAUGCAUGACGCGUAUAUAGUCCAUUAUGCUCUAUAUUAAAGUUAUAUUUGAAACCAGUUUUAUUUAUUUUUUAUUUACUACGUAUACAAUUAGAAUAUGAUUAUUAAGAAAUUAUAUAUUUUUUACUUUUCCAUUUGCAUUUGAUUCGACGAGUUUUAAUUUUAAAAUUCCAAACAUAGCAAAACAAAUUGAAAAAAAAGAAGACUUUACCUUGCCAAAAGGUGCCACUAACUGUUGAAGAGCUGCAAUUCUAUCUCCUAAUUUCUCUUUUCUAACCUGACAUGAUCAGUACAAAGAUUCACACAUUAAACAUUUAAAUCAUAUGAGGAAAAAAUUAGGGUUGGAGAAAUUGUCACAUGAAAUAUACAUAUAUAUAUAUAUAGGUAUUAUUAACAUUCAUGAUCCUGUAAUUAAUUAAUUGUCACCUUAAAGGGUGGGCAGGAAGAGCGUGAAUCCAACCGCGAUUUUUUGGGUCUCUCUUGAGGCACUGCUUUUGUUUCAAGCAAACUGCUGGAUCGCUUUACUUCUGGAACUCCAUUAUUAAAAGGUGAUACCUUUGAGAUGAAAACAGUAAAGUACUUGUAUAGAUGAAUUAUCAUGGAUAUAUAUCUCAAAGAAGACGGUAUAUAUAUCUGAAAAAUGCAAGGAUCAUAAUGUAUAAAGCUGGAAGUAUCCUUUAUCAAAAAGAGAGAGGCUUUCCCUUUGGUGCCAUUUAUUUAAAAGAGAGAAAAGAAAGCUCUUUAACUUUCAUAUUUCUCUUUCUUCCCAUACCAAAAAAAGCAAAAACAGAAAAGGAGAUGUCCUAUUAAAAUUCAUAUAUAGUAGUACUGUUUAUUGUUCAAAAUAUGAAAUGCUUAUUGUGACUUUAGUAUACUAUAUAAAUUCACAAUAAGCAUUUCAUUAUAAUAUCCAUACACAAAAAUAAAUAUAAUUUAGACACUAAAGAUAUGUAUAUGGUUAUAUAUAUAUAUGAGUGGAAUAAUUGUUUUUUUUAUUAUUUUAUUAUAUUUUUGGAGUAUGGAGUAAAACUACAUAGAAGCUAGAUCACUCACUAAGGAAUGUGAUUGUGACAAUUACCUAAUAAAUAUGCUAUUAUAUAUGAUCAUAGAUUAAUUCACUUGUAUAACUAUACGCCUUUAAUGCUAUCAUCAUUAUAUUUUUAAUUUGGCUACCGUGUGAAGUUCAAAUUGGUCAAAUAUUUGUCAAGACAUAUAGGAAAAAAUAGAAUCUGUACUGUAGCAAAUAGCUGCAUUGACAAUUUUGUGAUUGUGCUGGUGAUGCAUGCUUGGCUACAUGCAUUAAUUUUCAUGGCAAUUCUAUAGAUAGUCACUAUUGUUUUGAGAAGAAAAAGAAGAAGCUAUGUAUAGAUAGAUAUUACGUAUACUCACAUUUGUAGGACUAUUCGGUGGCCUGUGACUUAUAAAUUGCUGCCGCAUAUUAUAAUCAAGGCUGCUUUUCGAAAGGCC
rnacentral:lncRNA from 1 species